CAGAGACCACCACACCCACAGACCAGCAGACCACCCCCCAGCCCCACCACUGACAGAGACCACCACACCCACAGCCCCACCACUGACAGAGACCACCACACCCACAGCCCCACCACUGACAGAUACCACCACAGGCACAGUCACACCACUGACAACCACCACCACAGGGACCACCACACCCAGAGCCACGCCACUGACAGAGACCCCCAGAAAAACCACUACAGCCACAGUCAUACCACGGACAGAGACCACCACACCCACAGUCACACCACUGACAGAGACCACCACAGAAACCGCCACACGCACAGUCACACCACUGACAAAGACUACAACAGAAACCACCACAGUCACAGCCACUCCACUGACAGAGACAACCAGAGAGACUACCAUAUCCAUAACCCCAAUACAGACGGAGACCACCACACGCACAGCCCCACCACUGACAGAGACCACCUCACGCACAGCCCCACCACCGACAGAGACCACGACAGCCACACCACUGACAACCACCACCACAGAGACCACCACACCCAGAGCCAUGCCACUGACAGAGACCACCACACCCACAGUCACACCACUGACAGAGACCACUACAAAAACCACUACACCCACAGCCACACCACUGACAAAGACUACAACAGAAAGCACCACAGUCACAGCAACUCCACUGACAGAGACAAUCAGAGAGACUACCACACCCACAGCCACACCACUGACAAAGACCACCACAGCCACACCACUGACAAAGACCACCACAGCCACACCAUUGACAAAGACCACCACAGCCACACCACCGACAACCACCACCACAGGGACCACCACACCCACAGCCCCACCACUGACAGAGACCACCAGAGCCACAUCACUGACAACCACCACCACAGAGACCACCACACCCACAGCCCCACCACUGACAGAGACCACCACAGCCACAUCACUGACAACCACCCCCACAGAAACCGCCACACGCACAGUCACACCACUGACAAGGACUACAACAGAAUUUACCAUAGUCACAGCCACUCCACUGACAGAGACAACCAGAGAGACUACCAUAUCCACAGCCCCAAUUCUGACAGAGACCACCACACACACAGCCCCACCACCGACAGAGACCACCGCAGCCACACCACUGACAACCAUCACCACAGAGACCACCACACACACAGCCCCACCACUGACAGAGACCACUACAAAAACCACUACACCCACAGCCACACCACUGACAAAGACCACCACACCCACAGUCACACCACUGACAGAAACCACCACAGAAACCGCCACACGCACAGUCACACCACUGACAAAGACUACAACAGAAAGCACCACAGUCACAGCCACUCCACUGACAGAGACAACCAGAGAGACUACCACACCCACAGCCCCACCACUGACAGAGACCACCACAGCCACACCACUGACAACCACCACCACAGGGACCACCACACCCACAGCCCCACCACUGACAGCGACCACCACAGCCACACCACUGACAACCACCACCACAGGGACCACCAUACCCACAGCCCCACCACUGACAGAGACCACCACAGCCACACCACUGACACCAGACAGGAACCACACAGAGCAAGAAAAACCACUACACCCACAGUCAUACCACUGACAGAGACCACCACACCCACAGUCACACCACUGACAGAGACCACCACAGAAACCGCCACACGCACAGUCACACCACUGACAAAGACUACAACAGAAACCACCACAGUCACAGCCACUCCACUGACAGAGACAACCAGAGAGACUACCAUAUCCACAGCCCCAAUACUGACGGAGACCACCACACGCACAGCCCCACCACCGACAGACACCACCACCCUCACAGCCCCGCCACUGACAGAGACCACCACACCCACAGCCCCACCACUGACAGAGACCACCACACGCACAGCCCCACCACUGACAGAGACCUCCACAGCCACACCACUGACAACCACCACCACAGAGACCACCACACCCACAGCCCCACCACUGACAGAGACCACCACAGCCACACCACUGACAACCACCACCACAGAGACCACCACACCCACAGCCCCACCACUGACAGAGACCACCACAGGCACAGUCACACCACUGACAACCACCACCACAGGGACCACCACACCCAGAGCCACGCCACUGACAGAGACCACCACACCCACAGUCACACCACUGACAACCACCACCACACCCACAGCCCCAUCACUGACAACCACCACCACACCCACAGCCAUACCACUGACAAAGGCUACAACAGAAACCACCACAGUCACAGCCACUCCACUGACAGAGACAAUCAAAGAGACUACCAUAUCCACAGCCCCAAUACUGACAGAGACCACCACACGCACAGCCCCACCACUGACAGAGACCACCACAGCCACACCACUGACAACCUCCACCACAGAGACCACCACACCCACAGCCCCACUACUGACAGAGACCACCACAGCCACACCACUGACAACCACCACCACAGAGACCACCACACCCACAGCCCCACCACUGACAGAGACCACCACAGCCACACCACUGACCAUCACCAGCACAGAGACCACCACACCCACUGCCCCACUACUGACAGAGACCACCACAGCCACACCACUGACAACCACCACCACAGAGACCACCACACCCACAGCCCCACCACUGACAGAGAUCACAGCCACACCACUGACAACCACCACCACAGAGACCACCACACCCACAGCCCCACAACUGACAGAGACCACCACAGCCACACCACUGACGACCACCACACCCACAGCCCCACCACUGACAGAGACCACCACAGCCACACCACUGACAACCACCACCACAGGGACCACCACACCCAGAGCCACGCCACUGACAGAGACCCCCAGAAAAACCACUACACCCACAGUCAUACCACUGACAGAGACCACCACAGAAACCGCCACACGCACAGUCACACCACUGACAAAGACUACAGCAGAAACCACCACAGUCACAGCCACUCCACUGACAGAGACAACCAGAGAGACUACCAUAUCCACAGCCCCAAUACUGACAGAGACCACCACACGCACAGCCCCACCACUGACAGAGACCACCACAGCCACACCACUGACAACCACCACCACGGAGACCACCACACCCAUAGCUCCACCACUCACAGAGACCACCACAGCCACACCACUGACCACCACCAUCACAGAGACCACCACACCCACAGCCCCACCACUGACAGAGACCACCAAAAAAACCACCACACCCACAGUCAUACCACUGACAGAGACCACCACACCCACAGUCACACCACUGACAGAAACCACCACAGAAACCGCCGCACGCACAGUCACACCACUGACAAAGACUACAACAGAAACCACCACAGUCACAGCCUCUCCACUGACAGAGACAACCAGAGAGACUACCAUAUCCACAGCCCCAAUACUGACGGAGACCACCACACGCACAACCCCACCACCGACAGACACCACCACCCCCACAGCCCCACCACUGACAGAGACCACCACACGCACAGCCCCACCACUGACAGAGACCACCACAGCCACACCACUGACAACCACCACCACAGAGACCACCACACCCACAGCCCCACCACUGACAGAGACCACCACAGGCACAGUCACACCGACAACCACCACCACAGGGACCACCACACCCAGAGCCACGCCACUGACAGAGACCACCACACCCACAGUCACACCACUGACAACCACCACCACACCCACAGCCCCAUCACUGACAACCACCACCACACCCACAGCCACACCACUGACAAAGGCUACAACAGAAAUCACCACAGUCACAGCCACUCCACUGACAGAGACAAUCAGAGAGACUACCAUAUCCACAGCCCCAAUACUGACAGAGACCACCACACACACAGCCCCACCACUGACAGAGGCCACCACAGCCACACCACUGACAACCACCAUCACAGAGACCACCACACCCACAGUCACACCACUGACAGAGACCACCAUACCCACAGCCCCACCACUGACAGAGACCACUACAAAAACCACUACACCCAUAGCCACACCACUGACAAAGGCUACAACAGAAACCACCACAGUCACAGCCACUCCAGUGACAGAGACAAUCAGAGAGACUACCACACCCACAGCCACACCACUGACAGAGACCCAUACAUCCACAGUCACACCACUGACAACCACCACCACAGGGACCACCAGACGCACAGUCACACCACUGACAAAGACUACAACAGAAUCCACCACAGUCACAGCCACUCCACUGACAGAGACAACCAGAGAGACUACCAUAUCCACAGCCCCACCACUGACAGAGACCACCACAGCCACACCACUGACAACCACCACCACAGAGACCACCACACACACAGCCCCACCACUGACAGAGACCACCAGAAAAACCACCACACCCACAGUCAUACCUCUGACAGAGACCAGCACAGAAACCUCCACACGCACAGUCACACCACUGACAGAGACUACAACAGAAACCACCACAGCCACACCAGUGACAAAUACCACCACAGGGAUCACCACACCCACAGACACACCACUGACAAAGACUACCACACCCACAGUCCCACCACUGACAAAGACCACCACAGGUACCACUCAAGCCCAAAACUCGGUCAGCACAGUGAACUUCACAGCCCCAAUAUCACACUCUACUUCAGCCAUCCUCCCUGUGACCACUUCUCCAGCACUCAGCACUAUCUCCCAUACAUCCACCAGUAGAGGCACUGGGACACCCAUGACACGCACUACAACAGCCGCCCCCACUAGGCCACACAUGCCAUUCACCACUCACUCCCGUGCCACCGUUUCUGUCCAUACCACCUCUCACACAACAGCUCUGCCAGCAGGAACAUCCUUCCGGCCCACCACCACCCAUUCCACCCCAUCACAUCCAGAGACCCUUCCCGUCCACGUGUCAACAUCUGUGACUUCCACCUCUCACCGAGUCAUCACCCCAACUGAGUCCCAUGCUACCUACUCCACCACAAAGCCUACUGGCACCCCAACGCCAUUGACACACAUCCUGGUCACAUCCACGGCACCCACAUCCAUGUCCUCACUGUCGACAACAACAACAGGGAGCACCACACCCACAACCCUGCCACUCACAAAGACCACAACAGGGACCACUCAGGCCCAGAGCCCGGUCAGCACGGUGCCAGCACAAAGCUCUAGCUUCCCCUCUCCAUCAUCUUCUCCGGCUUCUCUGAACCCAAGCCGAAGUCCUCUAACCACUUCUGUUUCCGUGUCGACUCUGCCCCAUUACCCCCCUUCUUCCACUGUCUCGACCCCCUCCUCCUCGCCCACUGCUUCCUCUCCUCCUCCUCACGGGUCCUCGAACACCUCUCCUUUGAUAUCAUCUUCCCCCUCCCCUUCUGCAGUCUCCACUUCACACAGCAUCCCAAGUGUCAGCUCAGCUCCACACCGUCCCUCGCCCUCUGCACCUCUGACCGAGUCACAGACAGCAUCCCUGCUGACCAGCCCCCCUUCCCCCGCCGCCUCCACACCCAUCAGGCCCUCCCUCUCACCUCCAUCAGCUCCGACGCUGUCCCCUGCCCCCACUGUUAGUACCGUCAUCCUGUCUACACCCCGGACCACAGUCAGCAGCCCCACCUCCUCCGUCCCGUCCUCUCAGUCCACCACCGCACAGGCCACCUCUCUCACCACCCAAACCCCCACCCACGGCCUCCUGUCUUCUACGCUGGGCGUGACAGCCGUCCCAAGUUCUCCAGCCACCAACCUCACCACCAGACAGCCGAGUACCACCAGGCUGCAGACUACCGUGUUCCUGGCCAGCUCCAUCACUGCACACGAAAGCUCCUUCCUCCCCACCGCCGGGUCUGUGUCCACAGAGAGCCAGUCCAUCUCCACCUUUGCUACAUCUCUUCCCAGCUCUGCAGGUACUGAGACAGGCAGACCAGAGACACCUCCGUCCACAGGGGCCUGCAGCGUGAAGGAGUCGGAGGAAGAAGUCACUUUCCAGGGGUGCACGGCCAACAUCACGGUGACCCGCUGCGAGGGUGUGUGCGCCUCCUCGGCCAGGUGAGCCAUCGGCCCCACCCUGCCUGACAGAGACUCUUCUCAUAGAAGCUAGGGAAGACCCGCCGAGAGCUCCCAGCUCCAGCAGUGUGCCUCCCCGUCAGGGCACCCCGGCCCCCCCACACACACCUGUCUGCGCCACACCUGCUGGAGCGGGGGAGCUCAGAAACGGGAGCCAGCCCCUCCCUGCAGGCCCAGGCUGGGACCCUGGCGCCCACCUCCCCACGGGCCGGGGAGGGGCACGCUGAGGCGGCUGCCCUGACGCAUGCUCCCCCCACCGCUCCUCUGCAGCUUCGACAUGGACACCAUGCAAGUAGCCACCACCUGCAGCUGCUGCCGCCCUGUCAGCUCCUACGAGGCGGAGCUCGUGCUGCCCUGCACGGACCCUGCGGCGUGGGGGCAGCAGCUGGUGCUCACGGUGCAAGUGUUCAGCAGCUGUGCGUGCUGCCGCCAGCGCUGUGGAGACUAGAGCUCCAUCCACAAAACCGCCCGACACGCUGGGCCCCGCAGCCCCUUCCGAGGCACAGCCGUGGCCUCCGAGAGCCCUCGGAGGUGGCUCACCCGGGCCGCCGGAGAGAAAGGGGGUGCGGGCGGGGGUCCUGCAGACCCCGACGGGCCCCAGCAGGCUGCACGGGACUGGCUGGCCUCCGGGGCCACACAGGGCGCUGCCUGCCAUGCCCACUGCUCGUGCACAGCCUCCAGUCCUGCUGGGACUAAGACCGGGGGCAGAGCAGCACGGAAGGCUGUCCAGAAGGGGCUCCUGGGGAGGCCGGGCCCCCGAGCAGAGGGUCGGGGAGAGACACAGGUCACAGCAUGCAGAGGGAAGCGAAGGGGGGCACCCCACCUGCCUGCCGACAGGGCUCACCCUGGCGAGGGGGCACCCGGGCACCACACCCUGGCGAACAGACGGCAAUAAACUGGCCCUGGUCAAAGCACAAAGGCUCGCAGACUCCUGUUGGCUCCCGCGCCCGCGCACUCCUAAGUUCCCAGACCCACUCCGGGUCCACGGCACUGGCCCAACACCAGUCUAGGCCCAGAAG
rnacentral:lncRNA from 1 species